GACGUAGGGUGCGAGCGUUGUCCGGAUUUAUUGGGCGUAAAGAGCUCGUAGGCGGCUCGUCGCGUCGACCGUGAAAACCCGCGGCUUAACUGCGGGCUUGCGGUUGAUACGGGCGGGCUAGAGUUCGGUAGGGGAGACUGGAAUUCCUGGUGUAGCGGUGAAAUGCGUAGAUAUCGGGAGGAACACCAGUGGCGAAGGCGACUUCCUGGCCUGUUCUUGACGCUGAGGCGCGAAAGCUAGGGUAGCAAACGGG
rnacentral:rRNA from 1 species